rnacentral:rRNA from 1 species
GAUGAACGCUGGCGGCGUGCCUAAUACAUGCAAGUCGAGCGAACGGACGAGAAGCUUGCUUCUCUGAUGUUAGCGGCGGACGGGUGAGUAACACGUGGAUAACCUACCUAUAAGACUGGGAUAACUUCGGGAAACCGGAGCUAAUACCGGAUAAUAUUUUGAACCGCAUGGUUCAAAAGUGAAAGACGGUCUUGCUGUCACUUAUAGAUGGAUCCGCGCUGCAUUAGCUAGUUGGUAAGGUAACGGCUUACCAAGGCAACGAUGCAUAGCCGACCUGAGAGGGUGAUCGGCCACACUGGAACUGAGACACGGUCCAGACUCCUACGGGAGGCAGCAGUAGGGAAUCCUCCGCAAUGGGCGAAAGCCUGACGGAGCAACGCCGCGUGAGUGAUGAAGGUCUUCGGAUCGUAAAACUCUGUUAUUAGGGAAGAACAUAUGUGUAAGUAACUGUGCACAUCUUGACGGUACCUAAUCAGAAAGCCCCCGCUAACUACGUGCCAGCAGCCGCGGUAAUACGUAGGUGGCAAGCGUUAUCCGGAAUUAUUGGGCGUAAAGCGCGCGUACGCGGUUUUUUAAGUCUGAUGUGAAAGCCCACGGCUCAACCGUGGAGGGUCAUUGGAAACUGGAAAACUUGAGUGCAGAAGAGGAAAGUGGAAUUCCAUGUGUAGCGGUGAAAUGCGCAGAGAUAUGGAGGAACACCAGUGGCGAAGGCGACUUUCUGGUCUGUAACUGACGCUGAUGUGCGAAAGCGUGGGGAUCAAACAGGAUUAGAUACCCUGGUAGUCCACGCCGUAAACGAUGAGUGCUAAGUGUUAGGGGGUUUCCGCCCCUUAGUGCUGCAGCUAACGCAUUAAGCACUCCGCCUGGGGAGUACGACCGCAAGGUUGAAACUCAAAGGAAUUGACGGGGACCCGCACAAGCGGUGGAGCAUGUGGUUUAAUUCGAAGCAACGCGAAGAACCUUACCAAAUCUUGACAUCCUUUGACAACUCUAGAGAUAGAGCCUUCCCCUUCGGGGGACAAAGUGACAGGUGGUGCAUGGUUGUCGUCAGCUCGUGUCGUGAGAUGUUGGGUUAAGUCCCGCAACGAGCGCAACCCUUAAGCUUAGUUGCCAUCAUUAAGUUGGGCACUCUAAGUUGACUGCCGGUGACAAACCGGAGGAAGGUGGGGAUGACGUCAAAUCAUCAUGCCCCUUAUGAUUUGGGCUACGCACGUGCUACAAUGGACAAUACAAAGGGCAGCGAAACCGCGAGGUCAAGCAAAUCCCAUAAAGUUGUUCUCAGUUCGGAUUGUAGUCUGCAACUCGACUACAUGAAGCUGGAAUCGCUAGUAAUCGUAGAUCAGCAUGCUACGGUGAAUACGUUCCCGGGUCU